GGGUAGAGACGCUAGGCCGGCACUGCCUAGGUGGGCCGGGCGGUGCGAGGGUCGCCUUUCAGCCUUUACCUCUACCCACUGAAAUGGAGUAGGUCGGUGAGCGCCGAUCUGCUGGAGAAUCUCAUUAUCCCAUCGGCGCUCUGCCUGCUCCUGGCCUCCAAGCCUCUGAAGCCCCUCGGGUUUCAGCUGCCGGCUACCCUCGAGCCCGUGGUGCCCACGAGAGAGGCGACUUUACGUCAGCGGCCCUGGGCUGAGAUUUGAGAACGCGACCAAGUGGAGAAUGUUGGAGCCAGAUUUUAAAAUCCUUGUCUUCCUUCUGCGUGCUACUUGAUCUAAAUGAGAUACGGCAAAGUCACAGAACCUGUUUUUAUGUUUUUGCCUGAUUCAUACGGGCUUCUCCGGUGAAGAUGGGCCUGAAGUAACGCUUGGGUUGCUUCUGACGUUAUAACUCAUCCUGUAGCUGCAGCAACCGUGGUCCUUGCAACCUCAUAAAAAUGUUGCCAGCAUUGUUUCGAUAGUGCUGCUUAAUUCUUGGAAGGCCUCUUUGCUUUCUUCCCUGAGGUUCUUCGGACUUCACACAUUCCAGCAGUAGCUCUCUCAGCUCCUGUCCUGCACAGCUUUGAAGUGCUGGUGAUGUCAUUGAACUCUUAAGUGCAAGAUGAAACAAGUCUUUCUGGGGUUCUAAGUAGUUAACCAACAGGACACAGCCCUGGUGAUGGCUUUCUGAGGAUGACACGAUGGAGGCUUCUCCAAUAGCUCUAAAACUGCGGUGUGGAAAACAUUCGGCAGCCUCAAAGAGCGGUCUUGUUGACCCCAACUAUAUCAUUUUUCAUCAAAAUCAUUCUUGUAAAGAAUGACCAGGCAACACUCUUUGAAAAUUGGAGGCCAUUUGCAGCUGCUCUCUGUUGAGGAAAGUGAAUAAUAGGGUGCCCUCAAGGAAUUGCAAAGGUAUCACUCAACAGAAACUUUCGUGUCUGAAGAAAACUAGAUCAUUUUAUCAUGGUAGGCAUGCUGAUAUGUUUGCUUUAAUAAAAUGCCAUAUUUCUGCCUUUAAUCUCUUGUCAACCCGCUAUUAAAAAGCCCCAAAGUGCAUGUGUGCAGCGCAUGUAAACACUUGUGGUUUUGAGGUUACCACAGAACAUACUAAUAAAGCAUGUAAUUUGUGUUUUGUGCACAGACUGUAAUAAUUUAUUGAGUGGUACAGAGAAGCUAGAAAAGGAUUUUCUCUAACUUUUGCCAGCAAGUCAAUUUAUUUUUAGUGCUCUAUGCAGAAGUACAUGUAUACACAUGUUCUUAUGAUUACAUCAUGUUUAAAAAGCAUUAGGGAGCCUGCAUAACAAAAUGGGACAAAACAUAAAUUCAUUUUGCACAUACGGAAGACAUUCUAUCAAGCAUGCUAAUGUUCCUCCUAUAAGCUGAUCAGCUGGGAGGUGUGGCAUAUAUUCUUCCACAAAGGGUGUGUGUUUGUGUGUGUGUGUGUGUGCAUGUUUGUGUGCGUGUUGAGCACUGACAAUACAUUAGCAGAGUAUAGAUCAAGUAAGUUCAAGUAAAUUAAGACGAAUAAUAAUAGCAAGAACUUUUAUAAACUUUACCAACUUUAUCCCCAGUCCCCCUGGGGGAGGAGGGCAGAGAACAAUGUUGUUCCUUCUUUUAUAUGGAAUAACAAAACGUAUAAUGGUUGGGUCACUUCUAGAGGGUCCUAGAAGAGCUCAUUGCCAGACUACAGCUUCCACCAUGAUUGUUUGGGUAGCCAAUUUAUCUGUUUAUGUAAGAUCCUUACAGGUAAGAACCAUCAGGUUGUAUACCACUUAGCUUUUUGCUUUCACUUCUUCCCUUGUGAGGUUCCUUGCACACAACAAAUCAUCCACACAGAUGCAUAAUUUGAAAGGAAAGGUCUUGAGCUUAUGGAAGAAAUACAUACCAGUUUCUGGAAAAUUCUGUGAAAUUCUGUAGUUGGAAAAUAAUUCUGUGAAAUUCUAUGCUUUAUUUACUCAAACAAAAAACACAUUCAGUUUAGAAAUAACGUCUGUGCCCAGAAGAAAUAGGUGUUAGAUACUCAAAACGUGUUUAUUCCAAAAA
rnacentral:lncRNA from 1 species